UCUAAAGGCUCAAGAUAUCACAAAAAUUAUGGCUUUUUGAUAUUAAUCCUAUAACUUUCAACUUCAAGAUAAUACCUAAACUUGGGGAAAUAACCUAAAGAUUUUUAAUUCUCAGAAAUCAACUUGUCAUGCUUGAUUCUCUAAUGCCUUACAGUUUAAACAAUCAAUGCAUAAAUGCCUAUGUUUUAAUUCAAGACAUAUCAAUAAAAAUCAUAAAUUAAUCAAAAUUCAUUCUAAUAGUGAUAUGAGUGAGUCACGUGAGAAUAAGACAAAAUUUAGGGAUUUUUCUGAUAAUGAUAUAAAUAACCCCCCACACUUAAGAUGUACAUUGUCCUCAAUGUACAAAGAUAGAUUUAGUGAAAAAUAUAGAUAUAAGAUCAUAAGAUAGGGAGAGAAGUGAAACUUCCUGAAUUUUAAAUGGAAUCCUUGAAUUGGAGUCAUAGAAAGUAAUUGGCUAAGACAAGGGUGAGAUUGGAGGAGGAUACUCCGGUAGUGGUAAAGGUUGUUAGUCCACAAGUCCAGCGCCAAAAGAAUAUUAUAACAGGUGGCAGCUAUAGACGUGGUCGAGCAGAGCAUGGCAGUUGUGGAGGACCUUUUCCAGUGGAGUUGCAAAUUCCUAAGUAAUAGUGAGCUUUGGAACUCUUCAUAACUGCGAUAGAAUUAUUAACUCUUUAGGAAAUAUAAAGUAGCAUGAUUACUCGUAAAGAAAUGGCCGAAAACAUAAAUUAUAUAAUAUAAAUUGUAAAACCUAAAGAUGAAAUAAAAAUAGUAUUAAAGAGAAAUAAAAUGAAAAGUAAUUUAAAAAGAUAAAUAAAGAUAAAAGUAAAAAUAAUAAAUAAUAAAUAAAAGUCUUCAAAAAUCCUCAUUGCUAGAUGGUUCGCGAGGUGGGGCUGGCGAUGAGAUGUGAAUGUGCUGACAAAUCUGAUGUAAGGUUGUAUCAAUGUAAUCGAAGCGCUGAAAACAUUACUGCUUGAAUCGAGUGAGAUGCUCAGAGAUGUCAGAGAGUGAAGCAGCCACAUGAAUUGGAUGAUGAACAGGUGGUGGCUAAGAUGGUGGAUCCUCGUGAGGUGGAGGGACAUCAUCAGUAAUGUCCUCUGGUCUUCCUACUCGGCUAACUGGAUGAGGCGGUACUGAGGAGGAUCAAAUCCACGUCGUCGCUCGAUCAUCCUCAUAUGAAGCAUACUCGAGAUGCCCUGUGAGGACAUUUAAACGAUGAGGGUGAGAGAGGAUGUUUGCGCCACCGUGUUGAGAAGACCGAAGUACCGUGCCAGGCGAGUCACAUAAGGGCCGAUGGAAAGGACUCCCUUCCUCUGCCGCUCUGUCUGAUGGCGAAUGGCGCGGGCAAUGAAAUAAGUGAGGUCGAAUACGUGCCCAUGCAUCAUGUUCCAUAAAAAAUAGGCGUCAUUAGUGUUGAUGACGCCGCUACUUUCUCACCGUCCUAUCAGGGUGUGGGCUAGGAUGGCGUGUAAGUAUCUCAGUGAUUGGGCGAGAGCCGAUGCCUUGGAGCGACUACGGUCAUAAGUGGCCGAAGUAGGGACUAUGGCCUUCCAGCAAUUUGAAAGAGAAUAAUGGAUGUGGCGAUGGAGACUGUCGAAGUCUUCACCGUCCAUGAACUCCUCCAUAUAUAGUCUUAAUGAGACACCGAACUUAGGCAUGCUCAACUGGCAAACUAAAUCGUCAAGACAGAACUGGACCAUUCCGGGAACAUCGAACUCUGUCGUAACGAUUUGAAAGUGAAAGGUCGAACAGAGUUCUAGUGUGAGCUCGAGGUAUGUCAGCUCGACGAUCUCGAAGAAGAGCCUCCAUAGGUCAGUAGCCAGGAGAGCCCGAACGGCGUCAACAAGUUGAAUCUGCUCUAGAGCGAUCCAAUUAAUACAUCGUCCUGCACUGAUGGAUCUCGCAUGGAGUAUCAGAAAAAGUUCUCCUGGGGUCCCAAGGGAAACUGUAGGAAGGGAUGGCUCACUUCGGUAGAUGCGCUUGCUGAUAUGGCUCCGGGUCCCUUCUGCUUUUUUUGAAGCGGGGACUGUUAUUUUCUUACCAUGUGGAUUUGACAUGGUAUACUUAGAAGAAGAACGAGUAUUAUGUCUUAAUGAACAGAGAAGAUAACAUAUGCUAACAAAUUCAAAAAGGAAUUAACCAUGAAUAUAAUUAAACUAACAAAUUCAACCAAAAACUAGUGACACUAACAAGACUCAACCAAAAGCAAUCGAACUUGACGAUAGAAAUUUUAUGGCAAAUGGCUUAGUAAUAGCAUGACUAAAUUCAACACGAAAUAGAUAAAAGUAGCUAAUAAUGGUAAGAAAAUGGUACAAAAUAUGUGAAAUAGAUCCUAAGAAUGAGGAUGAUAUGGUAAGCAAUUAAUAGAAAAAUGUACGUAAUAGGGUAAAAUUAAGAUCAUCAUGAUAGUAAGCAUAAAAAAAAACUAAAAGAGAAGAGAAGACCGUUACUGGAGGAUCGGUGGUUGGAGGAGAGACGGCGCGAUGGUGGGGGUUUGUAGUGUAGAGAAAGAGAGAAAAAUAAAGGAAUGUGUAGGGAAGGAAGGAUAAGAGAGAAGAUUUGGAUGCGUUAUGGAAGGAAAUGGAGGAGAAAGAUGGAUUUUGGGUGCUGGUCGGGGCUUAAGAGGCGACGAUAGUGGUGGGAGCGGCGGCUAGGGUUAGGGUAUUGGGGAAGGGGAUGAUGAAUAGUGUGGGUUUAUAUAGAUAUUGGGGCACACAGUUGUGCUUCAGCCUGUGCAUUUCGUGGUUUUCAAAUUUGGGCACCUCUAAAAUUCGGCCCACGCCUGUGUUUUUUGGGCGUGUUGGUGCACUCGGUCAUGUUACACGGUCGUGUCCUGCUUCGUUCGCUUCUCCUACGCCUGUGUAUAUAUACGCACACCCUUGUUAUCUUGACAGUUUUGACCACAGGUGGUAGGCAUGGGCGUGUCGCACGCCCGUGUUAAUUUCUCAAUUUCUACCACGGCUUAUAGACACAGGCGUGUUGCAUGCCCGUGUUGAUUUGGCAGGAUUGCCCACGGCCAUGUGACAUGGUCGUGGCACUGUAUCGAAUCUCAUGUUUUAGGAAAGGUUUUGCUCUGUUUUCACCAUGAGUUGAAGAACAAUUUUUAGAGUCACAAGCAUUAUGUCCACGAUGACAAUAACUUAGGGCUUUAAGACAAAUUGGCUUUAAAUUAUUAUUAUUAUUAUUAUUAUUUUCUCAUUUUGGCAUUGAUAUUUUUUUCUUUACACUUUAGUAUCUGAAUUAUUAUUUUUAUCCCAAUUUACUUUGGAAUAAAAAUGCACCAACAAGAACAUGACACGCAACAUAUUCUUAUUGGACACGGAUAAAAUUUGAGGUAAACUGAGACGAAAAUAAUAGUAAUGAAAUAAAAAAAAAUUAAGCACUAAAGUAGGAAAACAAGUAUAGUUCAAAGUAUAAUUUAAGCCUAAUUUCAGAAACAAGCCUGGUAUAAGACCAAAACAUUUUACCAUUUUUAUGCAGCUAACUGCUGAAAAUAUUUUUAUACAUAAUAAGACCAAACAAAAAUAUCUAAUGCACAACAAAAAGGACUUAAUCUAACUAAUAAUGCAUUAGUACAAUGGCUUUUGCAGCAAAUAUAAAACCACAAAAGGGAAAAGUGUCUCAGGUUUAUGAUUUACCCCAAAAAGGAAAAAAAAUUGAAGGCAUUAUUACCACAAAACUCCAUUGAAUUCCACUAUAUAAUUUCAAGAGGAGUGUCUUAUAAUCUGAUUCAGUACAAUAUAUACAUAUUAGUAUUACAACCAAGUCAGUGCAGUUAAAUUGACAUUUUUUUAUAUAAGAAAACGAAAAACUAAAAAAAUCAUUUAAAUAUGAAAGGGAUUUUAAGCAAUUUAACCGCAUAGCGAACUAUAAGCAGUAACAGAAGAUUCAUUCUAAAUCAGCUGGCCAUGAUGUUAACAAUAAGCAGUAGACAACCAAAAACCAGGAAAAAAUAGCCAAAGCUUUUCGACAAAAUACUUUUUGAACCAAACUAAGAAGAUGCACUUUGAUGGUUUUGCCAUUUGAAAAUAUGAUUUUGAAAAAGAAAAAUGCAAAAAAACCUCAUUUGUCUCGUCUUUCUUCUAACAUCAUGUUUUUAAAAUUGACAUUUUAACUUCUCAUAGCAGUAGUUAACAGCAAUGCUAAAAGAUUAAAAUUCCCUAACCAUAAUUUUUCAAAGCAACAUUUUCCAAAUGCACUUUUCUUUCAGACCAAACUUUUUAUAACUGCAGCCAUAAUGCUAAACUAAGCAACAAUAAAGGUUGGACUAAAAUGAUAGAUAUAUUAUGCAAUAUUUGAUUUUGCAAUGACAAAAGUCAAAACUUAAAAAAUCAACUAGAAUGUUUACAGGUUUAAUUUAAUUCACUUACUAAUUACUUUUUUUUCUUAUUUUAAUAAAACAAUACUUUCAAAUUCACGAACAAGUCGUUAGACCUGCUUAUUUGUAGCUGAAGAACAACCAUGAGAAGCAAAAUAUUCUUUUGGAAGCCUAUCAAGCUUGAACCUUUCAAAAAAAAGAACAAAAACCAACAGUUUCCUUUAUUUUCUUUCACUUUUUCAGCAACCAAAUAAAAAAACUACUAUUUUAAAUCAAAAACCAAGAGAAAAGACAAUUAUAAAACAGAUCACAAGCAUUCAUAACUGAAACAAGCACAUUCAUCCACAAAAAUAUCCAGUAAUUAAAAUCUAGGUUACUUACUUCACUACUCCCUCUCUCUAAAUUUCCUCAAAAACUUUGAUCUAGGUUUCUUGACGACCAUUUCAAGAUCCUUUGAGUCCUCUCUAACCAACCACACUAACUACUCAUAAUUGACGCGGCUCAGCUAUGGCCUCUCAAACCCACAUAUCUCUCGAUUUCAAAAUUGGUGUUAUUGGUUGGGGCUUCCAAGUAUCAAACCAAACCCCUAGAAUUUUAUUUUUAUCAUUUUUUUAUCAACAACGAAAAGAACAAAGAUUAGAGAUUUUUGAAACCGAUCAGUUUCAAUUUCAAGCUUGUUUUCGGUAUUUCUCUUUUCUAAAAAUUUGAGUUUGGAAAUCCCUAAAUCAUUCAGGUUUCUUCCCUAGCUAAAGAAACAAAGGAAAGCAUAAAAUUUCAGGCAUAAAAUCUGUGGAGAAGUAAGGAACAAGAAGAAAAAAAAAUAGCUUUAUGCCAUACCUUAAGUCAAGACCCAAAGAAGAGGAAUGGUAUAAUCCUGAAAAAGAGAGAAACAGAGGAAAUGAAACAGUAGCCUGAGAAAAUGAUAUAUGCUAUGGACUAGAAAAUGAAGAAUAGAAGAAGUAAAAGAAAUGAAUAAAGGAAGAAGGAGAGACUUUU
rnacentral:lncRNA from 1 species